rnacentral:rRNA from 1 species
GACGAGAAGCUUGCUUCUCUGAUGUUAGCGGCGGACGGGUGAGUAACACGUGGAUAACCUACCUAUAAGACUGGGAUAACUUCGGGAAACCGGAGCUAAUACCGGAUAAUAUUUUGAGCCGCAUGGUUCAAAAGUGAAAGACGGUCUUGCUGUCAUCUUAUAGAUGGAUCCGCGCUGCAUUAGCUAGUUGGUAAGGUAACGGCUUACCAAGGCAACGAUGCAUAGCCGACCUGAGAGGGUGAUCGGCCACACUGGAACUGAGACACGGUCCAGACUCCUACGGGAGGCAGCAGUAGGGAAUCUUCCGCAAUGGGCGAAAGCCUGACGGAGCAACGCCGCGUGAGUGAUGAAGGUCUUCGGAUCGUAAAACUCUGUUAUUAGGGAAGAACAUAUGUGUAAGUAACUGUGCACAUCUUGACGGUACCUAAUCAGAAAGCCACGGCUAACUACGUGCCAGCAGCCGCGGUAAUACGUAGGUGGCAAGCGUUAUCCGGAAUUCAUUGGGCGUAAAGCGCGCGUAGGCGGUUUUGUUGAAGUCUGAUGUGAAAGCCCACGGCUCAACCGUGGGAGGGUCAUUGGGAAACUGGAAACUUGAGUGGCAGAAGAGGCCCCAGUGGAGAUUCCAUGUGUAGCGGUGAAAUGCGCAGAGAUAUGGAGGAACACCAGUGGCGAAGGCGACUUUCUGGUCGUGUGAGACUGACGCUGAUGUGCGAAAGCGUGGGG